rnacentral:rRNA from 1 species
AUUGAACGCUGGCGGCAGGCUUAACACAUGCAAGUCGAACGAGUGGCGGACGGGUGAGUAAUGUCUGGGAAACUGCCUGAUGGAGGGGGAUAACUACUGGAAACGGUAGCUAAUACCGCAUACCAUCAGAUGUGCCCAGAUGGGAUUAGCUAGUUGGUGGGGUAACGGCUCACCAAGGCGACGAUCCCUAGCUGGUCUGAGAGGAUGACCAGCCACACUGGGACUGGGACACGGUCCAGACUCCUACGGGAGGCAGCAGUGGGGAAUAUGGCACAAUGGGGGCAAACCUGAUGCAGCCAUGCCGCGUGUAUGAAGAAGGCCUUCGGGUUGUAAAGUACUUUCGGCAGAGAAGCGUUACCCGCAGAAGAAGCACCGGCUAACUCCGUGCCAGCAGCCGCGGUAAUUC